UACGAAGGGGGCUAGCGUUACUCGGAUUGACUGGGCGUAAAGGGCGCGUAGGCGGCUUGUACAGUCAGACGUGAAAUUCCUGGGCUCAACCUGGGGGCUGCGUUUGAUACGUGCGGGCUUGAGUUCGGAAGAGGGUCGUGGAAUUCCCAGUGUAGAGGUGAAAUUCGUAGAUAUCAGGAGGAACACCCGUGGCGAAGGCGGUUCUCUGGGACGGUACUGACGCUGAGACGCGAAAGCGUGGGGAGCGAACAGG
rnacentral:rRNA from 1 species